GCAAUGAUGACUUUUUGCGUUUGACAAUCAUGAAAAACACCCAACAAGUCCUCUAAGAAGUUCUGAGCUC